CCAACAUCAUGCACAAGGGCAACAGAUAACAUGAUGGGCCUUAGUUACAGAAGACCCUGAGAGGGAAGGGAAGAGGAAGUGUCACCUACCUUAUCACCUCCUCCCUCUCCUUCAGCUGAGCAAGUACCAGGUAAAAAUACCAAAGAGGAAACAGAGACUUUGCCUGAGACACCUUCCCCAGUCAAUUGGAAAAAAAAAGACAAGGGAUAUGCUACAGCUAUGGAAACCUGUCGUAGGUAUGGCGACAUCAUGGCAGAGGAAAUGCCUUAACAUUCUUGGUUGCUGGUAGCCUCAAACCAGGCGAUGCCUCCAAUGCCACUUUCCCCAACGUUCCUCCCUGCGCUGAAGAACCAAGCUGGGAAGGAUGCAAAGUUGGAACAUGACUUAUAAUUGCUGCACCUGAGAAAGCUGUUGCUGCAUACAUCUGUGCUCUGCAGUCGACAAAACCUGAUGCAAAAAACAGAAAAGGGGAGAGGUAGGAUAUUGGUCAGGGUAGUGGGAAAAAUUAUAGGGAGAUGCAAACCUUCCCAGAAGGCCAGAGGUUUUGCAAAAGCCUCUGGAGGGAAUUAUGGUCGAAGGCAGCCAAAUCCUCCUACCUUGAGCUAAUAGCAAAGAGCAAAUAAUAAGGGAAUGUAGAGGAGUUUAUCUGAAUACCUUGUUUACUCAGACCAACCUUGGAUCAUCCGUGCACACAACUACUUUCUACUCGGGGGGUUGGCAAUGUUAAUUACCCACUAAUGGUGU